rnacentral:SRP_RNA from 1 species
ACCGGGCACAGUGGUGCGUGCCUGUGGUCCCAGCUACUCAGGAGGCUGAGGCAGGAGGAUCUCUUGAGCCCAGGAGUUCUGGGCUGUAGUGCGCUAUGCCUAUCGGGUGUCCGCACUAAGUUCAGCACCAACAUGGUGACCUCCUGGGAGUGGGGACCACCAGGUUGCCUAAGGAGGGGUGAAUGGGCCCAGGUCAGAAAUGCAGCAGGUCAAAACUCCCAUGCUGAUCAGUAGCGGGAUCGCGCCUGUGAAUAGCCACUGCACUCCAGCCUGGGCAACAUAGUGAGACCCUGUCUCU